UACAGAGGUCCCAAGCGUUGUUCGGAUUCACUGGGCGUAAAGGGUGCGUAGGUGGCUUGGUAAGUUUGAUGUGAAAUCUCCGGGCUUAACCCGGAAAUGGCAUUGAAUACUAUUGAGCUGGAGGUUUGGAGGGGGGACUGGAAUUCCUGGUGUAGCGGUGAAAUGCGCAGAUAUCAGGAGGAACACCGGUGGCGAAGGCGGAUCUCUGGGCCGAUACUGACGCUGAGGAGCGAAAGCGUGGGGAGCGAACAGG
rnacentral:rRNA from 1 species